AGCGAACGCUGGCGGCAGGCCUAACACAUGCAAGUCGAACGAACUCUUCGGAGUUAGUGGCGGACGGGUGAGUAACACGUGGGAACGUGCCUUUAGGUUCGGAAUAACUCAGGGAAACUUGUGCUAAUACCGAAUGUGCCCUUCGGGGGAAAGAUUUAUCGCCUUUAGAGCGGCCCGCGUCUGAUUAGCUAGUUGGUGAGGUAAAGGCUCACCAAGGCGACGAUCAGUAGCUGGUCUGAGAGGAUGAUCAGCCACAUUGGGACUGAGACACGGCCCAAACUCCUACGGGAGGCAGCAGUGGGGAAUCUUGCGCAAUGGGCGAAAGCCUGACGCAGCCAUGCCGCGUGAAUGAUGAAGGUCUUAGGAUUGUAAAAUUCUUUCACCGGGGACGAUAAUGACGGUACCCGGAGAAGAAGCCCCGGCUAACUUCGUGCCAGCCGCCGCAGUAACAC
rnacentral:rRNA from 1 species